rnacentral:tRNA from 1 species
UCUUCCGUAGUAUAGUGGUCAGUAUACAAGCUUGUCACGCUUGAGACCCGGGUUCAAUUCCCGGCGGGAGAG